rnacentral:rRNA from 1 species
GACGAACGCUGGCGGCGUGCUUAACACAUGCAAGUCGAACGGAAAGGCCCUGCUUGCAGGGUACUCGAGUGGCGAACGGGUGAGUAACACGUGGGUGAUCUGCCCUGCACUUCGGGAUAAGCCUGGGAAACUGGGUCUAAUACCGGAUAGGAGCCAUUUUUAGUGUGAUGGUUGGAAAGUUUUUUCGGUGUAGGAUGAGCUCGCGGCCUAUCAGCUUGUUGGUGGGGUAAUGGCCUACCAAGGCGGCGACGGGUAGCCGGCCUGAGAGGGUGGACGGCCACAGUGGGACUGAGAUACGGCCCAGACUCCGACGGGAGGAAGCAGUGGGGAAUAUUGCACAAUGGGCGCAAGCCUGAUGCAGCGACGCCGCGGGGGGGAGGACGGCCUUCGGGUUGUAAACUCAUUUCGCUAGGGACGAAGCUUUUUGUGACGGUACCUAGAUAAGAAGCACCGGCUAACUACGUG